UAAGCGGAGGAAAAGAAACUAACUAAGAUUGCCUCAGUAACGGCGAGUGAAGCGGCAAAAGCCCAAGAUGGUAAUCUCUGCCUUGCGGGUAGAGAGUUGUAAACUACAGGAGGGACGCUCAAGCGGCUUGAUGCAGAAGUGCCCUGGAACGGGACGCCAGAGAGGGUGACAGCCCCGUAUGUGGUAUCGAGCCUAAACGAGCGCCUUUCUACGAGUCGGGUUGUUUUGUAUUGCAGCCCUAAGUGGGAGAUAGACUUCUUCUAAGGCUAAAUAUGUAUGGGAAACCGAUAGCGAACAAGUACUGUGAAGGAAAGAUGAAAAGAACUUUGAAAAGAGAGUCAAAAGACUUGAAAUCGUUGAGGAGGAAGCGGUAGAAAUUUAUUCUUCGGCUGUGAACGAGGCCGUCCGCCAAACCAUUGGCUUAGUAAGUACUUAAUCGGCUUGCUGGGCCACUUGGGGAAGCGGUAGGUGGGUUCUAGGUCGAGAGGCAAAAUGGGGUUCCUCGUCUACAAAAGCUUGAUAAGCCUGGCAGGGUUCGCCUUGCAGUUUGUUUUUGCUGGUAGAUGAGUGGCCUGAGGGUGUACGUGCGAUUUUGCUAAAAUGGUUUUUACCGACCCGUCUUGAAACACGGACCAAGGAGUCUAAC
rnacentral:rRNA from 1 species